CCUCGCCCUCCACCUCCGCCUCCGGCCCCGCCCUUCACCUCCCACCUCCGGCGGUCCGCCCUCGCCCUCGACCUCCACCUCCGGCCCCGCCCUCAACCUCCACGUCCACGUCCACCUCCACCCUGAUCCUGGCGCCUCCACCUCCAAGACUACACCCAGGUCCGAGAGCCUCCACUUCCAGGCUCAGGUGAUCCUCCUCUCCCGAGCUGCUGCUACUACUGGUGGUGCUGCUGCUGCACAACGCACUCCUCCACUCCACCUUUAGGCCUUAUCCUAGAGCUGUUGCUGCUACUGGUGGUGGUGGUGCUGCACACGGCACACCCAGGUGGAGGCUAUUUCUGGAGCUGCUGCUGAGGUCGGUUGAUGCCCACAUUCAUCUCAUCAACCUGAAUUUGGCAACAACUCUAUCAAUAUUUGGCAGUAAUGUGAACAAGUGAUUGUCAACUGAAUUUGAAGCGAAAUGGUGAUAUUUACUACUGCUACUGAAGUACUCCAAAAUGAAUGUUCUGUUUCUAGCCAACAAUUCUAAACAAGCAGAAAGAAAGAUAAGAAGGUGCUCACAACUGCCAGCAGCACAGGACACUAGCAGCUGGCUCGGUGCCUCUCCGCAUAAACAAGAACUGCAUAAACAAGAACCAAAGAAAAGGAGAUUCAAUUAAUUAACUGAAAUUUAACAUCAGCAGUACACUAAGAGAGAAGAAGAGAUAAGAGAGAAUUAACUGAAAUUUUAACUGUUCCAGAAUCACUUCGGUCUGGAUAAUUCAGCUUAACUGGAUCGGCUUGCGGUUAGGAAGAUCUUCCAUGUAUCCGCGAGCAGGCACCUUGCGGGCUACCGGAGACUGACGAACAAGUUCAGACAAUCACACCCAAACUUAACAGAAAAGAGCAAAACCAGAUUUAAGAGGCGCCUAAGGGCCAGCCAAGAGAACAAAAUUUGGUCUCAGUGAAACCAUAUUUCAAAUGCAGGAACUUCGGUCUCAGUGAAACAGGUAUCAUGUGUCACAUCUACACAGCAUAAUGUGUGGUGUAAAUCACAGUGUCACAGAUACACAUCAUAAUGUGUGGUAUAAAUCACAGGUACACAGCAUAAUGAAGUUUUACAAAGUUUAGCCAACAGAAACACAGCAACUGCUGGGUUUUCCUGAAACAGGUAUCAUGUGUCACACAUACUGCAACAAGUUGAAAUAACAAGAUAAAAAAGAACGCUAAUGUGCAAAACUCAAAACAAGUUGAAUUUUGUCGACACGCUGCUCGGAACAGUUAUUUUUCUGAGAAGCUGAACUAGGCAGACCGAAGUGAUUUGGGUUUUCAAGUACUAGCAAUUAAUUAACUAAAAAAUUACUGCACCAGAUCACCUUCUAUGAAUAACUACUCCAUUAGCAGGAACAAGCUAAUCCAAAAUUAAUAGUGCUCUGAAUACUGUAAUUAACAGGACAUCUUCUAUGAAUGACAGUACACCGAUCAGUUACUCCAUUUUAACAGUACUAAUCCAUUUGCUCAAUGGGAGUGUUGUACCCAGACAAUGUUGUUGAUUUGCUCAAUGGGAGUGUUGUUCUCUGCACAUAUUUUUUUCCUAUUUCUUCAAUCUUCUUUUAUUCUUCUCAAGAUAUCUUAUGUCCUAAGGUUAAUUUGCAGCAGGAGUAAGAAGCAGGAGUAAGAUGGAGAACAUGGUCGUGCCGGACCUCAACCGCACUCCACCUGCAGAUGAAAUGGAUGAAGAUCGAGUAUUUGAAAUGGAUGAAGAUGCAGUACUUCAAAUGGAUGAAGAUGGAGGUACAAUUACAGUAGCAUUUCAGACUACUUUCAGUUAACUGUAGCAUUUAUGACUAUUUUUCCUUUGUUGUAUUCCUUCGUGCAGGUGUUGAGCAAGCAGUUCGGAAAAGGGACAGCCUUGAUGACAAGCAGAAGUAUGCUGCUUAUGUUGCAUUGCAUACAUUAUGUAUGAGUAGAGGAGGCAAAUUUAACAGAGAUGAUAAGAAAAAAGUGGCCGACUUUUUUGGAGUAGGUGUUUGGAAUAUUCAAAGAGUUUGGAAGAAAGCGAUGAGGCAAAUUGCACAAGGUUUGGAGGUUGACGUUUCCAGUCAGAGAAAAGGAAACUGUGGAAGAAAGGCAAAGGACAUCAACCUAGACCAAAUCCCUACAAUCCCUCUAAACAAAAGGUCUACCAUCCGAUCACUUGCUUGGCAACUCGGAUGCAGCCCCACCACACUCCACAGGAAGUUCAUGUUGAAGUUGAUAAAGAGACAUUCAAAUUGUGUGAAACCAAUUUUGAAGGAAAAGAAUAUGAAGGAUAGAAUGAAAUUUUGCUUGUCAAUGCUCGAUGAGACAACAAUAGAAACUAGAAGGCCUAAAUUCAAGACCAUGCACAACGUUGUGCAUAUUGACGAGAAAUGGUUCUAUAUGACAAAAAAAACAGGAACUAUUAUCUGCUCGAUGAGGAGGAAGAGCCUACAAGAACUAUACAAAGCGGCGCUAGUAUUGGAAAGGUCAUGUUCUUGACUGUCGUUGCUAGGCCAAAGUGGGAUAGUGAAGGAAAUGUGACCUUCUCUAGGAAAAUUGGAAUUUGGCCAUCUGUGAAAGAAGUUCCUGCUCAAAGAAAAAGCGACAAUAGGCCUAGAGGAACAAUGGAGACGAAGUCCAUAAAAGUUAGCAGGCAAGUGAUGAGAGAGUUCAUGAUAGAUAAUCUACUGCCAGCAAUACAAUCAUCUUGGCCUGAGAAUGAUGCUGGGCAAACCAUCUUCAUACAACAGGACAACGCAAAGCCUCAUAUCUUACCCAAUGACCCAUAAUUUUUAGCAGCGGUCGAAAGCACAGGACUAGACAUCAGACUAAUUCAGCAGCCCGCCAAUAGCCCUGAUUUGAAUGGGCUUGACCUUGGAUUUUUCAGUUCGUUGCAAUCGAUGACAGAUUGUCUAAGCCCAAGAACCCUUCAAGACCUUAUUAAGGGUGUGUUGGAAGAAAUUGAAAACUAUGAGGUUUACAAGCUGAACAGAGUUUUCUUAUCCCUACAGGCUUGCAUGAUAGAAAUUUUGAACCAUGUAGGGGGCAAUGGCUAUAAAAAUACCUCAUGUGAACAAGGAAAGGCUCGAGUCUCUUGGGUUGCUACCGCUAAGACGUACAUGCCCUCAAGAGGUUUACGCAAAUGCCUUACACAACCUACAACUAAUGGAUGCUUGUUGUUGCUGAGAUGAGGUUUGUCGUCGAGAUGUUAGAGAUGCUAGAGAUGCUUGAGAUGCUAGAGAUGCUAGAGAUGCUAGAGAUGCUUGUUGCUGAGAUGAGGCUUGUUGUUGCUGAGAUGAGGCUUGUUGCUGAGAUGAGGCUUGUUGUUGCGAUUAGGUUUGUCGUCGAGAUGCUAGAGAUGCUCGAGAUGCUUGAGAUGCUAGAGAUGCUAGAGAUGCUUGUUGCUGAGAUGAGGCUUGUUGUUGCAAUGAGGUUUGUCGUCGAGAUGCUAGAGAUGCUUGAGAUGCUUGAGAUGAGGCUUGUUGUCGAGAUGCUAGAGAUGCUUGUUGCUGAGAUGAUGCUUGUUGUUGCGAUGAGGUUUGUCGUCGAGAUGCUAGAGAUGCAUGCUGUUGAGAUGAGGCUUGUGUGGAGUAUGUGUAACUCCUUGUUUGUAUGGAGUAUGUUUGUGUGGAGUAUGUGUAAACCCUAGAGAUGAGGCUUGUUGAUAUGUUGAUAUGCUUGUGGGGAGUAAAUGAUAUGCAUAUCAUCCUGAAAAUGUUUCUAGGAUUUGAAUUUAAGUUGCUGCAAAGUUUUUUGAAUUUUCUGAUUUUUUUGAAAAGUUUUCAUUUAUAUUAACACAAAAGUUUUCAUUUAGAUUAACACAAAAGUUUUCAUUGAUGGAAGAUGCUUGAGAUGCUUGACAAGAGAAGAGAAAAGAAGAAAGAAGAGAAAAUAGUGUCCAGUUAAGGAGAAGUUUCACUUAAAUUCAGUUAAAUUCAGUUGGAGUAAGAGGGGAGAAGACGGAAGAAAGAGAAGAGAAGAGAAAGAGAAGAGGGAAGAAGAGAACAAGAAUAUGGAGGGCAGAAGAGGAGUAGACUAGAGUAGUUCUCCUCUUCUUGCAAGUCCAAACUGAUUUAUUGAGAGUUGAAAAAAUACUUCGAGCAACCAUCAUUGUGAUUAUACUAUAGUGAAAUAAUCAAAUCAGUAGGGUUGUACAGGCUGAGCCUGUUUGACGGGACGAGUGCGCUGUUACUAGCACCAUUGGCAGGAGAGUUUUGCUGCAGGUACAGUACUAGUCCUGAAGCUAACUAUAACUGGAAAACCCCACUGAAAUCGAUCAAUUUAGCCUUAUUUUAACUAGGGGAGCAUGGUGACUCUUUAGGAGAAUGCAAAUGCUUAUAAUUAUCCUCCAGUAUGAUUCGUUUUGAUGUGCCAUUGGUUUCACACACAUGCUUGGUCUAUGGGUUCAGAUUUUAAUUUUAGAUGCUUCACAAUAUAUAACCAGCGAAAAUUGAUUUAAUAAUUGGUUUACUGUUGAUUGCAAGAGUUCCAUUAUCUCUGCAGAAACCCUCCGUUACUCACUCAUGUUGAUCCGGACGCCCCUCUUGGGAGAAAAGCACCAGACAUUGGCAACAGGCAAGUAAGCUUCCCUUGAUCAGUAGUGUCGUAAAACUGGAUCAAGAAGCAUUGCAAGCAAGGUACUCCUACUCCUAAGUGUACUCCCAUAAUACUUGUACUCCCGAUCAAAUUGAUCCCAAGGUACUCCUACACCUAACACAAAUGCAAAAUCUGUAAUGGAAAUAUGGUGCUCCCAAACCCCACUAGCAUAAUCUGAAUGUGUAUGUUCACAAUCUGUAAUAUGGUGCUCCUAGUUCAGCUUCAUGGAAAGAUUUUGCUAUCCCAAGGAUAAUAACUGUAGGAGCACCAUAAUUAACUUCGGUCUGCCUAGUUCAGCUUCACAGAAAGAUAAUAUCCCAAGGAUCAAAAUCUGUAUGUUCAGAAUCACAUUCAGGUCACUCUUACUCCUUUACUCCUCUACUGAAUUUACCACUUUUACUCCUUUAUUCCUCUACUCCAUCAUCAUGUUCAGAAUCCCACUAGCAUAAUCUGAACUAAGCAUGUCUUACUGGAAAUAUGCGAGGAAGAAGCAAGAAAAACAAAGCUGGAGUACUCACAGUGCCGUCGUCCGGGAGGAGCUUCGGUGUUGUCCCCGUGUGCUGGUCAUCUUAUCGUCCCAGCGGUGUUCCGGCUGCUCCUCGCCGNNNN
rnacentral:lncRNA from 1 species